GAUAAACGCUAGCGGUGUGCAUUAUGCAUGCAAGUCGAACGAUUCUUCGGAAUAGUGGCAGACGGCUGAGUAACGCGUAAGUAACCUGUCCUUAAGUGGGGAAUAAUUCACCGAAAGGUGGACUAAUACCGCAUGUGGUAAUAGAAUUAGUUUUUAUUACUAAAGCUUUCGAGCGCUUGAGGAGGGGCUUGCGUCCUAUCAGGUAGUUGGUGGGGUAAUGGCCUACCAAGCCUACGACGGGUAGCUGGUCUGAGAGGAUGUCCAGCCAGACGGGGACUGAGACACGGCCCCGACUCCUACGGGUGGCAG
rnacentral:rRNA from 1 species